UAACGAAUCUUCCGCAAUGGGCGAAAGCCUGACGGAGCAAUGCCGCGUGCGGGAUGAAGUAUCUCUGGUAUGUAAACCGCUGUCAGGGGACCGAAACAAUGAUUGUCCCCAGAGGAAGUGGCGACUAACUCUGUGCCAGCAGUCGCGGUAAUACAGAGGCCACAAGCAUUAGUCGGAAUCACUGGGCUUAAAGGGUGCGUAGGUGGCUCACCAAGUGCUUUGUGAAAUCCCACGGCUCAACCGUGGAACAGCAGGGCAUACUGGUGGGCUUGAGGCAAGUAGGGGCUGACGGAACAGUAGGUGGAGCGGUGAAAUGCGUAGAUAUCUACUGGAACGCCGAUGGUGAAGACGGUCAGCUGGGCUUGUCCUGACACUGAGGCACGAAAGCGUGGGGAGCAAACAGGAUUAGAUACCCCGGUAGUCC
rnacentral:rRNA from 1 species